UACGUAGGGUGCAAACGUUGUUCGGAAUCACUGGGCAUAAAGAGCGCGUAGGCGGUCUAAUAAGUCCUGUGUGAAAGCCCCCGGCUUAACCGGGGAAUUGCACCGGAUACUGUUGGACUAGAGUACAGGAGGGGAGAGCGGAAUUCCUGGUGGAGCGGUGAAAUGCGUAGAUAUCAGGAGGAACGCCGGCGGCGAAAGCGGCUCUCUGGCCUGUUACUGACGCUGAGGUGCGAAAGCUAGGGGAGCAAACGG
rnacentral:rRNA from 1 species